rnacentral:rRNA from 1 species
GUUAAAAAGCUCGUAGUCGGAUUUCGGGGCCUGCCGAGCGGUCUGCCGAUGGGUAUGCACUGUUCGGCGCGUCCUUCUUUCCGGAGACUAAUUCUACUCUUAACUGAGCGGAAUUGGGAGACGGAUCGUUUACUUUGAAAAAAUCAGAGUGUUUCAAGCAGGCAGCUCGCUCUUGCAUGGAUUAGCAUGGGAUAAUGAAAUAGGACUCUGGUGCUAUUUUGUUGGUUUCGAACACCGGAGUAAUGAUUAACAGGGACAGUCAGGGGCACUCGUAUUCCGUCGAGAGAGGUGAAAUUCUCAGACCAAUGGAAGACGAACCACUGCGAAAGCAUUUGCCAGGGAUGUUUUCACUGAUCAAGAACGAAAGUUAGGGGAUCGAAGACGAUCAGAUACCGUCGUAGUCUUAACCAUAAACCAUGCCGACUAGGGAUUGGAGGGUGUUCUAUUCGACCCCUUCAGCACCUUACGGGAAACUAAAGUCUUUGGGUUCCGGGGGGAGUAUGGUCGCAAGGCUGAAACUUAAAGGAAUUGACGGAAGGGCACCACCAGGAGUGGAGCCUGCGGCUUAAUUUGACUCAACACGGGGAAACUUACCAGGUCCAGACAUUGUUAGGAUUGACAGAUUGAGAGCUCUUUCUUGAUUCGAUGGGUGGUGGUGCAUGGCCGUUCUUAGUUGGUGGAGUGAUUUGUCUGGUUAAUUCCGUUAACGA